rnacentral:rRNA from 1 species
GAUGGAACCGCGUCGCAUUAGGGGUUUGGUGAGGUAACGGCUCACCAAGGCAACGAUUCUUAGCCGACCUGAGAGGGUGAUCGGCCACACUGGGACUGAGACACGGCCCAGACUCCUACGGGAGGCAGCAGUAGGGAAUCUUCCGCAAUGGACGAAAGUCUGACGGAGCAACGCCACGUGAGUGAUGAAGGCUUUCGGGUCGUAAAACUCUAUUGUUAGGGAAGAACAAGUGCUAGUUGAAUAAGCUGGCACCUUGACGGUACCUAACCAGAAAGCCACGGCUAACUACGUGCCAGCAGCCGCGGUAAUACGUAGGUGGCAAGCGUUAUCCGGAAUUAUUGGGCGUAAAGCGCGCGCAGGUGGUUUCUUAAGUCUGAUGUGAAAGGCCACCGCUCAACCGUGGAGGGUCAUUGGAAACUGGGAGACUUCCCUGGGAAGAGGAUAGGGGGAUUCCUGUGUAGCGGUGGGGCGCGUAGACAUAUGCCGGA